AACCCAAAUACUUAAUUAAAAGAAUUAAGUAUUGUCAAGUUGGUCUAGAAUUGUGAAUUAAGAUCUAAGACAAUUGCAUAAACUUGUGGGUCAAUGGGUUAGAUGGAUUAGGUCCAUAAUUGGGUUAGACCUAAGGUUAGCUUAAAGAAAUGGACUAAAUUAGAGUAAUUGAUCAAAUCUAAUCAAAAGUUAAAUUAGAUUAGGUCAAGGACACUCUAGACUCAACUCCAAUAGUUGUAGUUGAAUGGG
rnacentral:lncRNA from 1 species